rnacentral:tRNA from 1 species
GAGCAUAUAGCUCAGUGGUGGAGCAUGUGCUUAAUAUACACAUGGUCCCAGGUUCAAUCCCCAGUACCUCCA